rnacentral:rRNA from 1 species
UACGUAGGGUGCAAGCGUUGUCCGGAAUUAUUGGGCGUAAAGAGCUCGUAGGCGGUUUGUUGCGUCGGCUGUGAAAUCCCGAGGCUCAACCUCGGGUCUGCAGUCGAUACGAGCAAACUAGAGUGUUGCAGGGGAGACUGGAAUUCCUGGUGUAGCGGUGAAAUGCACAGAUAUCAGGAGGAACACCGGUGGCGAAGGCGGUUCUCUGGGCAUUACCUGACGCUGAGGAGCGAAAGUGUGGGGAGCGAACAGG